ensembl:lncRNA
UCUUGCAUCAGAUGGGCUAAGAAGUCUGCUGAGAAUGAGGCAGGCCAGGCAGCUCCUUAGCUUUCCUGAUCGAAGCAGAUGGGGGAGCGCCCCAUGCCUGCCAUACUUCUCUGUCCUUGGGAUUCUCCAGGCAAGAAUACUGGAGUGGGUUGCCAUUUCCUUCUCCAGGGGAUCUUCCCCAUCCAGGAAUCGAACCCAGGUCUCCUGCAUUGCAGCUAUGAGGUACACGGGAUCUCAGUUCCCUGACCAGGGAUGGAACCCACACCCUUUGUGCUGAAAGUCGAAGUCUUAGCCACUGAACCACCAAGCAAAUCCCAGAAGACUCGUUUUGAAUAAAAGUCUAAACAGAAG